AGCAGCCGCGGUAAUUCCAGCUCCAAUAGCGUAUAUUAAAGUUGUUGCAGUUAAAAAGCUCGUAGUUGAAUUUCGAGACCGGUCUACUGGUCGUGCUUUUGUACGUACUGGUAUUAUUGGUUUCUCCUUUCUGACGAAUCUUAAUGCCAUUAAUUUGGUGUUUUGGGGAAUCAGGACUGUUACUUUGAAAAAAUUAGAGUGUUUAAAGCAGGCUCACGCUUGAAUACAUUAGCAUGGAAUAACGAAAUAGGACGUUUGAUUUUAUUUUGUUGGUUUCUAGGAUCGACGUAAUGAUUAAUAGGGAUAGUUGGGGGCAUUAGUAUUCAAUUGUCAGAGGUGAAAUUCUUGGAUUUAUUGAAGACUAACUACUGCGAAAGCAUUUGCCAAGGAUGUUUUCAUUAAUCAAGAACGAAAGUUAGGGGAUCGAAGACGAUCAGAUACCGUCGUAGUCUUAACCAUAAACUAUGCCGACUAGGGAUCGGAUGAUGUUAAUUUUUAAUGACUCAUUCGGCGCCUUACG
rnacentral:rRNA from 1 species